rnacentral:rRNA from 1 species
AUUGAACGCUGGCGGCAGGCUUAACACAUGCAGGUCGAACGAAGCCUUCGGGCUUAGUGGCGGACGGGUGAGUAACACGUGGGAACGUACCUUUUGGUUCGGGAUAACACAGGGAAACUUGUGCUAAUACCGAAUGUGCCCUUAGGGGGAAAGAUUUAUCGCCAUUAGAGCGGCCCGCGUUAGAUUAGCUAGUUGGUGGGGUAAAGGCCCACCAAGGCUACGAUCUAUAGCUGGUCUGAGAGGAUGAUCAGCCACACUGGGACUGAGACACGGCCCAGACUCCUACGGGAGGCAGCAGUGGGGAAUCUUGCGCAAUGGUCGAAAGACUGACGCAGCCAUGCCGCGUGAAUGAUGAAGGUCUUAGGAUUGUAAAAUUCUUUUACCAGGGACGAUAAUGACGGUACCUGGAGAAAAAGCUCCGGCUAACUUCGUGCCAGCCGCCGCUGUAA